rnacentral:rRNA from 1 species
GAUGAACGCUGGCGGCGUGCCUAAUACAUGCAAGUCGAGCGAACGGACGAGAAGCUUGCUUCUCUGUUGUUAGCGGCGGACGGGUGAGUAACACGUGGAUAACCUACCUAUAAGACUGGGAUAACUUCGGGAAACCGUAGCUAAUACCGGAUAAUAUUUUGAACCGCAUGGUUCAAAAGUGAAAGACGCUCUUGCUGUCACUUAUAGAUGGAUCCGCGCUGCAUUAGCUAGUUGGUAAGGAAACGGCUUACCAAGGCAACGAUGCAUAGCCGACCUGAGAGGGUGAUCGGCCACACUGGAACUGAGACACGGUCCAGACUCCUACGGGAGGCAGCAGUAGGGAAUCUUCCGCAAUGGGCGAAAGCCUGACGGAGCAACGCCGCGUGAGUGAUGAAGGUCUUCGGAUCGUAAAACUCUGUUAUUAGGGAAGAACAUAUGUGUAAGUAACUGUGCACAUCUUGACGGUACCUAAUCAGAAAGCCACGGCUAACUACGUG